ACGCUCGACACCUACGUGAGGCAGCAGUGGGGAAUAUUGCACAAUGGGGGAAACCCUGAUGCAGCGACGCCGCGUGAAGGAAGAAGUAUUUCGGUAUGUAAACUUCUAUCAGCAGGGAAGAAAAUGACGGUACCUGACUAAGAAGCCCCGGCUAACUACGUGCCAGCAGCCGCGGUAAUCUGAGCGGGCUGGCAAGGC
rnacentral:rRNA from 1 species